GGCUACCAAAAAAAUCAGAGAAGUGGCAGAAGAAACUGUUGGUGUUAGCUACAGCACAGUCUUCAUAUUGAAAUGUUCCUUGGUGCUGGAGAUCCUCAAAGGUCUGCUUGCCUCCUAUAUUCACACAUAACUGCAAGACCCACCUGCGUGUCCAGGGGAUGAAGGCUCCUUAAGAGUACAAGAUGCUAAAGAUGUUCUUCUGCACAGGUACAACAUGAAACGGAGGUGAUUUAGGUUGUGAGCUGUCAGUUGGCUGCCAAUCAGUCACCAGGGAUGUACUGCUCCUUGACUGCUGUCAGCCAGCAUUACAGGACCAGUUCUGAUGAUAUAUUUGUGCUACAUUACAGAUCUUCAACUCAG
ensembl:lncRNA